rnacentral:rRNA from 1 species
GACGAACCGUGCGAACGUUGUUCGGAAUCACUGGGCUUAAAGGGCGCGUAGGCGGGUCGACAAGUCCGCGGUGAAAUCCCCCCGCUCAACGGGGGAACGGCCGCGGAUACUGUCGGCCUCGAGGGGGGUAGGGGCGAGCGGAACGCUGGGUGGAGCGGUGAAAUGCGUUGAUAUCCAGCGGAACUCCGGUGGCGAAGGCGGCUCGCUGGACCUUCACUGACGCUGAGGCGCGAAAGCCAGGGGAGCGAACGGG